ACGAACGCUGGCGGCAGGCCUAACACAUGCAAGUCGAGCGAGGACUUCGGUUCUAGCGGCGGACGGGUGAGUAACGCGUGGGAAUGUGCCCUUCUCUACGGAAUAGCCCUGGGAAACUGGGAGUAAUACCGUAUACGCCCUAUUGGGGAAAGAUUUAUCGGAGAAGGAUCAGCCCGCGUUGGAUUAGGUAGUUGGUGGGGUAAUGGCCUACCAAGCCGACGAUCCAUAGCUGGUUUGAGAGGAUGAUCAGCCACACUGGGACUGAGACACGGCCCAGACUCCUACGGGAGGCAGCAGUGGGGAAUCUUAGACAAUGGGGGCAACCCUGAUCUAGCCAUGCCGCGUGAGUGAUGAAGGCCUUAGGGUUGUAAAGCUCUUUCAGCUGGGAAGAUAAUGGCGGUACCAGCAGAAGAAGCCCCGGCUAACUCCGUG
rnacentral:rRNA from 1 species